rnacentral:rRNA from 1 species
UCCGGUGGCGAUACGGUAUGGGGUAACACCCGUUCCCAUCCCGAACACGACGGUGAAGACCAUAUCGGCCGAAGGUACUGUAUUGGAGACGAUACGGGAGAAUAGGUGGCUGCCGGAC